GGACUACCCGGGUAUCUAAUCCCGUUCGCUCCCCUGGCUUUCGCGCAUCAGCGUCAGAAAGGGCCCAGCACCUCGCCUUCGCCACCGGAGUUCCGGUCGAUAUCAACGCAUUUCACCGCUCCACCGACCGUUCCAGAUGCCCCUACCCUCCUCAAGAUGUGCAGUAUCCGAGGCACUUCCCCAGUUAAGCUGGGGGCUUUCACCACAGACUUACACACCCGCCUACGCGCCCUUUAAGCCCAGUGAUUCCGAACAACGUUCGCACGGUUCGUCUUACCGCGGCUGCUGGCAC
rnacentral:rRNA from 1 species